UACGUAGGGGGCAAGCGUUUGUCCGGAAUCAUUGGGCGUAAAGCGCGUGUAGGCGGCUCGGUAAGUCCGCUCUGAAAGUCCAGGGCUCAACCCUGGGAUGCGGGUGGAUACUGCCGGGCUCGAGUCCGGAAGAGGCGAGUGGAAUUCCCGGUGUAGCGGUGAAAUGCGCAGAUAUCGGGAGGAACACCAAUGGCGAAGGCAGCUCGCUGGGACGUGACUGACGCUGAGACGCGAAAGCG
rnacentral:rRNA from 1 species